ensembl:lncRNA
AGUAAGGCUGCAGCACCACCUGGUAUGGAGUGGACGGCCCAAUACAUUACUGGGGUCGAGCUCCCUGCACUCCAGGACAUUUACACCAGACAGUGUCUGAGGAAUCACCCAAGCCAUGGACUGUUCACUCCGUUACCAUCUUUCAAAAGGUGUUGGAGCAUUUCUGUGGGGACUUGCAUCCAUUCAGCCACAAGAGCAUUAGUGAGAUCGGGCACUGAUGUUGGGCGAUUAGGCCAGUCUGCAUUUCAAUUCAUCCCAAAGGAGUGGCUUCCGUCUGGCCCCUACCAUAAAGAUCUAAGUGGAGUGCUGCAAAGGUGGUUGUCCUUCUGGAAGGUUCUGCCAUCUCCACAGAGGAACUCUAGAGCUCGGUCAGAGUGACCAUCAGGUUUUUGGUCAUCUCCCUGACCAAGGCCCUUCUCCCCCGAUUGCUCAGUUUGGCCGGGUGACCAGCUUUAGGAAGGGUCUUGGUGGUUCCAGACUUCUUCCAUUUAAGAAUAAUGGAGGCCAUUGUGUUCUUGGGGACCUUCAAUGCUGCAGAAAUGUUUUGGUACCCUUCUCCAGAUCUGUGCUCGACACAAUCCUGUCUCGGAGCUCUACGGACAAUUCCUUCGACCUCAUGGCUUGGUUUUUGCUCUGACAUGCACCGACAACUGUGGGACUUUAUAUAGACAGGUGUGUGUGCCUUUCCAAAUCAUGU